ACAAACAGAUAAAGACUGAGAGAUGAGAUACUUAACUGAUACAAUAGAAAAGAAACGAAAUUGGGGGAAAUGCCCUGAGAGUGGAUAAACUAGUAUGCAUCAGAAAAUUUCCCUUUUAUGUUGGCAGCUCCACAAGCGCUCAAUCUCAUCCUAACCAGCCUUCCUUUUCCCAAUCGGCCAAUAGCUUAAGUAACUUUAUUAGAUUAUUCAUCUAUGACAAGUCUAUUCAAAAUUAUUAAACUGACAAGUAUAUCAUAACUACUAGAAAAAGAGUUCACUCCAUUUGAGCCUUUCACUUCUUAAGUUACAAUUAUUAGAUAUCCAUCAUAUAAGCACCUAUGCACAUCCAACCUCCCAAUGGAAAAAAUUAUGAGAUAUUUGCAGCUCCUUAAUAUCUAUGAUUGAAUAAUUAAAUCGACAUGCAUAUCAUAACUACUUGUGAUUAAAGUGCACAUUAUUUGCACCUAUCACUUCUCGAGUUAUAAUUAUUUCCAUCAAAUAAGUACCUAAGAAUCUAAAUGAACAAACUUAUAAGAAUCUCACAGCUCCUAUUCUCUCUUUUCAGUUUAUGUUUUAAGGAAUUCUACCUUAAAGGGUGAAGCAUUCCAGCUUUGGUGAGAAUGCAAGAUCUUUUGUCUCCUUUCUUUUAUGGCAUCGGUUCACAUCACAACCAACCUAACUAGCUCUAUUAAAACCAGAAAAUUGACACCUAUCAAUUCAAACCCUUGCUGAACCCACACCAAAGCAACCUUCAAGUCUCAAGUGAAACCACCAAUGAGAUUACUGCUCAUAACCCAAAUUGGUAAGGAUGUUUAUUUCAAAUUUUUUUCAUUUAGCCCAAAUUGAAUCUUGUUCUUUCUAAACCAACCGGAACACUAAAAUAUACUCUCUCAUCCAAUUACACCCUAAAAUUACAGGGUCUUAGCCACCAAACAAAUAGAUUGCUGUAUGUUGAUGCAAACCAAAUGCAAGGGUUCUACAAGCUAUGUUACUCUAACUGGGGUGAGUGUAACAGAUUCAAUUUUCUUUUGAAGUUUUUUCUGUACAUUUAGACUUUAGACAACAGGACCCCAUACCAUGUCCAUAGGAGGUGUUGCAAACAGAAAUUUCAAGGAAAAUAAAGAGUUGGGGCAACAUACUCUUAAGUUGUAUUUUUACACAAGGAUUAUACAUGUACAGCUACUAACAUAAGAAUAAGACACAGCAUCAACCUCAGUAUUUCACGCAGAUACCAGUGUUCCAAAAUACAAGUUCAUUAUAAUGAUUUUCACUCACAGUUGGUUUAGGAAGGGGAGUUGCCACAUCCCAUACAGCUUUAUUUGAAUCAUCCUGUUUUCCUUCCGUUGGCCUCCUCAGGUUCUGAGGACCUAUAGUAUCUUUGGCACCUCUAGCGGACAGGAUUAUAUCCUUACAUUCUUGAUGAACUUUAGGAACAUCAGCAGACCUUGAAUUCAUAAUCUCAAUCAUAUGAUUAAUUUCAUCCCUGGAUACAGUUUAUAGAUGUUAAAAGCCAUAUUAG
rnacentral:lncRNA from 1 species